rnacentral:rRNA from 1 species
UACGUAGGGCGCAAGCGUUGUCCGGAAUUAUUGGGCGUAAAGAGCUCGUAGGCGGUUUGUCGCGUCUGCUGUGAAAACUCGAGGCUCAACCUCGGGCUUGCAGUGGGUACGGGCAGACUAGAGUGCGGUAGGGGAGACUGGAAUUCCUGGUGUAGCGGUGGAAUGCGCAGAUAUCAGGAGGAACACCGAUGGCGAAGGCAGGUCUCUGGGCCGCAACUGACGCUGGAGGAAGCGGAAAGCAUGGGGAGCGAACAGG